rnacentral:rRNA from 1 species
AUUAGGAAUCUUGCGCAAUGGGCGAAAGCCUGACGCAGCGACGCCGCGUGGAGGAGGAAGUCUUUCGGGAUGUAAACUCCUUUUAGGUAGGAAGAAACAAAUGACGGUACUACCUGAAUAAGCCCCGGCUAACUACGUGCCAGCAGCCGCGGUAAUACGUAGGGGGCGAGCGUUGUCCGAAGUUACUGGGCGUAAAGCGCGCGUAGGCGGGUUGGCAAGUCUGCUGUGAAAGCCCGGAGCUUAACUCCGGAGGGUCGGUGGAUACUGCCAGUCUUGAAGAGGCUAGGGGGAGAUGGAAUUACCGGUGUAGCGGUGAAAUGCGUAGAGAUCGGUAGGAACACCAGUGGCGAAGGCGGUCUCCUGGAGCCCUCUUGACGCUGAGGCGCGAAAGCUGGGGGAGCAAACGG